UGCACCUUCAACCAAUACCAGGUCUAGGACCUGCACCUUCAACCAAUACCAGGUCUAGGACCUGCACCUUCAACCAAUACCAGGUCUAGGACCUGCACCUUCAACCAAUACCAGGUCUAGGACCUGCACCUUCAACCAAUACCAGGUCUAGGACCUGCACCUUCAACCAAUACCAGGUCUAGGACCUGCAUCUUCAACCAAUACCAGGUCUAGGACCUGCACCUUCAACCAAUACCAAGUCUAGGAUAUUUUUUUCACAGGGAUUCAGUAACGACAAAGAUCAAAUGUCACUGACUGGAAGAUCCCCGUCACCUCAGUAGAGUCCACACUCCUUGAGG